UAUUAAACUCUUCUGGACGACUUACAUGUAAGUCAUCUGUUUUAAUUUCUUCAACAGACGAUUGAAAUGUAAGUCGUCUAGGAAGUCAUCAAAGUCAAAAAUAUUUAACCUAAUUGGAUUUUUUGUCUCCCUAUAUAAAGAAAAAUUUACACAUUCUCUCUUCUCCUCUCAAAUGGCUGCAACAAAAAUGUAAUGUUCAUCAUUCUAAAACUCUCCAACCUCUCUCUAAUCUCUUUGACUUGAAAACACCAAACCUUAUAUGAAUUUUUCAGUUUUGUCUCAUGUAUUU
rnacentral:lncRNA from 1 species